CGUGUCCUAUGGGGCGCAGCAGUGAGGAAUAUUGGUCAAUGGCCGGAAGGCUGAACCAGCCAAGCCGCGUGAGGGAGGAAGGCGCAGAGCGUCGCAGACCCCUUUUGCCGGGGGACAAAAGGCCGGACUCGUCCGGUCCUGAGGGUACCCGGAGAAAAAGCAUCGGCUAACUCCGUGCCAGCAGCCGCGGUAAUACGGAGGAUGCGAGCGUUAUCCGGAUUCAUUGGGUUUAAAGGGUGCGCAGGCGGGCCUUUAAGCCGGCGG
rnacentral:rRNA from 1 species